UUUUACUGUUUUUGGAUCUGGUUUUGCUACAGUGCACAUCUCUGCUAAAUGAAACACGUCUUCAUCUCUUCACCACUAAACAAAACCCUAUAACUCACUCCUCUCUGAGUCUCUGCCCAUUCAUCUUCCUUUCCAAGAUUGGUUCUCUCCAUAAAUUCAAUCCAAAUUCCAUCUCUCUCAAAAACAAAUAAAAAUAAAAAUCAACAAUCUUGCUGAAGACAAUCCUAGAUCAUUCUAAUACUCUCAGAACUUCAUACUUAAGUUUCAAAGGACUUACGGAGUGGUUGGAAGAAGUGGCAUCGCGAGCUCUAUCAUCAUGAACUCUAUUAGGUAAGGUGUUCGUUUGUUUUGGUCUUGAAAUCAAUUUUUUUUUUUGGUUAUUUGUCAUCAUUGCCUAAUGACGGUUUUGGAUGGGGAUUGAGCUUAAAAUUAACAUUGGAGAAGCAAAGAUUGUUGGAAAAAAUGUUGCUUCCUUUGGCCUUAAUCGGAACAUGUAUGGUGAUUGGAGAUGGAGUUCUUACGCUUGCAAUUUCUGGUAUUGAAUGAAAAUUUUGUUUAUUUUUAUCUUAAUUGGAAAUUCCAUCUUAUAAGUGAUUAUUUUGGUCAUUAUGCAGUACCUUCUACACUUUCUGGGUUAGAGCUUGUAGUGUCAAAGCACCAUCACCAAUGUAAGUUUCUUAUUUUCUUCAUAUUUAUUCAAAAAAUAGCAUUUUACGUCAUGUUCAGUAAGCUCGACUAGAUAGCAUUGCAUAGUAAUUAAAAAAUGAAAAAAAGAUGUCAAAAUCUUGUGCAUUGCAGUCCAGUUCUAUGACUUAAUUUAUUGAUAUUUAGUAUUAUAAUCUAUUUAAAAAAUUCGUUUAAGGUGAAAGUUUUGUAACAAACUCAAUAAAAAGAAUAUGUAAACUCUUUAUUUUUCUUCUACAACAAUAAAAGUUGUUCCUUUUUCAUUUCCUUUUAUUGCAACAAUUAUUGGAAAUUUCAAAAAAUUUGUGAUCAUUUUUCUAUCACUAUUAUGCCUGUGGAAUUUCAAAUUCCAGAUUCCAUUAAUAGGAAAAAGAUGGUUAUUGCGGUGAGGAAGGUUGAUGCGAAAUAGAAUACUUUGGGUUCUUCUUCAAAUUUUAAGAACCUUGUUAAGAAGGUUGUUAGGAGCAGUUCGAUGAAGAGUCUAUCCAAACUCAAAAAACCUCGGAUCCUUGUCGAUGUUGUAGGAGAAACCAAGGCCAUGAUUUUGUGCCUAUAUGCUGCUGGUGACACCGAGCAUGAUGAAAAUGUUCAUUUCUUAUGCAUUCUUUGAAGAUUAGUUUAAUUUUUUAUCUUGCAGUUUUUUCGUUUUUUAUUUAAUUUGUUAAGGAAAGGAAGUUUCAAAAAGGCAAGGGAACAAUGCUAUAACUGAAGAACUUAUUGUCUUCUAUUGGUUUCCACGAUAGUAUGUUUAAUGCAAGAAGAAAAAGAUAAAAAUUUUAAACUUGUUAUAUUAAUUGGUUUUUAUGAUUUUGAAAUUACAAAUAUUAGCCUUCUUUGUUGCAUAAAAUCAAUUUUUUACACAUCAUGGUGUUUAUGUCUUUAUGAAUUCAGCAAUGUUAAGUCACACAUGAUGCAAGUUCUCAUAGCGGUUCUGCAUGAUAAAAUGAGUUUGAGAAUUAAUAAUCAUUAUCAUAUAAAUAUCGAUGAUUCUUCCACAUGCAUUAUUUUUUGUUUCAUUGAACUUACCGUGUUAUGAUUAAGAUAGUAAAUUUGUUUCUUAGUUGAUCUUAUUGGAUAUAUCAACUGUGGUUAGCACCUACACUGUAAUGCAAUCAUGUUCUCUAGUACUUUUUUUUUUUAGUCAUAAGCAUUUGUUAAUUUUGCUUUUUUAUGAAUCCUAAAUUUAUUGUCGGUAUGGAAUUAUAAAUUGUCUUUUCCUUUCAGUUGACGAAGUUAGAUGUCCUCAUUGAGAAGAUGAAGUCAAUUCUUUAUGGUUUGACGAUCCAAGCCUGUUCAAGAAGCUUGCUUGCAACUGACUAAAGAGUUUUUAAAGAUGAUACACUGCUGGUUCUUCUUUUUCGUAUCCCAAAAUUAUACCUUUUGAGAUGAGCAACUUUAGAAUCAACUUAUGAUGCAAACUAGACUUUAUUCUUGCUACUAAUCAUGAAUAUACUUUUCUCUCGUUUAGGCUUGUAAUGAUGCCAUUGAAGUUGUCUCGAAUUUGCAAAAGGCAACAGGUUAAUUCUCGGUUAAUUGCUUCUAAUUUUUUGGUAUCAAUCUAGAUCUUUUGGAUAAGUUGAUACUGGGGUGAGCUCUUGUUGUAUGUUUGCAAAAUUCUGAAGAAUAAUUUAUUGUGUUACUAUUUACGUUGUUGCAAUAUCAUUAUGUUUUAUUUUCCAUGGAAGUGAAUGGAAAACUGGAAGAAAUGUAUUCGUAAUUUCUAUUUUGUAUAAGAC
rnacentral:lncRNA from 1 species